rnacentral:rRNA from 1 species
UAGGGAAUAUUGGACAAUGGGCGAAAGCCUGAUCCAGCAAUGCCGCGUGAGCGAUGAAGGCCUUAGGGUUGUAAAGCUCUUUUACCCGGGAUGAUAAUGACAGUACCGGGAGAAUAAGCCCCGGCUAACUCCGUGCCAGCAGCCGCGGUAAUACGGAGGGGGCUAGCGUUGUUCGGAAUUACUGGGCGUAAAGCGCACGUAGGCGGCCAUUUAAGUCAGAGGUGAAAGCCUGGAGCUCAACUCCAGAACUGCCUUUGAGACUGGAUGGCUAGAAUCUUGGAGAGGCGAGUGGAAUUCCGAGUGUAGAGGUGAAAUUCGUAGAUAUUCGGAAGAACACCAGUGGCGAAGGCGGCUCGCUGGACAAGUAUUGACGCUGAGGUGCGAAAGCGUGGGGAGCAAACA